GUCUCCUUUACAACACCAUGGACGACAAGAGAUUCAUCUUAGAGGUUGAAAAUCACAAAUCCUUUUUAUAAGGGCAACACCAGAAAAGAGAAGGCAUGGAGUUUAACUGUAGGAGUGCUUGGAGUGGAAGGUAGAUACUAGCUUAAUAAACACGUGAUUGUUCUGUACUUGUAGAGACAAUAAAAUCUGCGGGUCGGGCAGCAAGACGCUCCGCUUCUGAGACGCUCCCGGUGUGGUACAGCGUGUGGUGGAGGACGGAACCAAACGACGGAACGCAGCACACAAGUGCCAGGUGGAGAAUGAGAGUAACAUGGAUAAAGAGUUCCCUCAGUCAACAAAG